rnacentral:rRNA from 1 species
AUUGAACGCUGGCGGAAUGCUUUACACAUGCAAGUCGAACGGCAGCACGGACUUCGGUCUGGUGGCGAGUGGCGAACGGGUGAGUAAUGUAUCGGAACGUACCUUAGAGUGGGGGAUAACGUAGCGAAAGUUACGCUAAUACCGCAUAUUCUGUGCGCAGGAAAGCAGGGGAUCGCAAGACCUUGUGCUCUUUGAGCGGCCGAUAUCAGAUUAGCUAGUUGGUGAGGUAAAAGCUCACCAAGGCGACGAUCUGUAGCGGGUCUGAGAGGAUGAUCCGCCACACUGGAACUGGGACACGGUCCAGACUCCUACGGGAGGCAGCAGUGGGGAAUUUUGGACAAUGGGGGCAACCCUGAUCCAGCCAUGCCGCGUGAGUGAAGAAGGCCUUUGGGUUGUAAAGCUCUUUCAGCCGGGAAGAAAUCGCAUAGGCUAAUACCCUGUGCGGAUGACGGUACCGGAAUAAGAAGCACCGGCUAACUACGUGCCAGCCGCCGCUGUAACAC